rnacentral:rRNA from 1 species
GAAGUUAGAGGCAUUGGCUCAACCAAUGUAUGCUUUGGAAACUGUUAGACUNGAGUGCAGAAGGGGAGAGUGGAAUUCCAUGUGUAGCGGUGAAAUGCGUAGAUAUAUGGAGGANCACCGGUGGCGAAAGCGGCUCUCUGGUCUGUCACUGACGCUGAGGCUCGAAAGCGUGGGUAGCGAACAGGAUUAGAUACCCUGGUAGUNCACGCCGUAAACGCUGAGUGCUAGGUGUUAGGUCCUUUCCGGGACUUAGUGCCGACGCUAACGCAUUAAGCACUCCGCCUGGGGAGUACGACCGCAAGGUUGAAACUCAAAGGAAUUGACGGGGGCCCGCACAAGCGGUGGAGCAUGUGGUUUAAUUCGAAGCAACGCGAAGAACCUUACCAGGUCUUGACAUCCCGAUGCCCGCUCUAGAGAUAGAGUUUUUCUUCGGAACAUCGGAGACAGGUGGUGCAUGGUUGUCGUCAGCUCGUGUCGUGAGAUGUUGGGUUAAGUCCCGCAACGAGCGCAACCCUUAUUGUUAGUUGCCAUCAUUAAGUUGGGCACUCUAGCGAGACUGCCGGUAAUAAACCGGAGGAAGGUGGGGAUGACGUCAAAUCAUCAUGCCCCUUAUGACCUGGGCUACACACGUGCUACAAUGGUUGGUACAACGAGUCGCAAGCCGGUGACGGCAAGCUAAUCUCUGAAAGCCAAUCUCAGUUCGGAUUGUAGGCUGCAACUCGCCUACAUGAAGUCGGAAUCGCUAGUAAUCGCGGAUCAGCACGCCGCGGUGAAUACGUUCCCGGGCCUUGUACACACCGCCCGUCACACCACGAGAGUUUGUAACACCCAAAGUCGGUGAGGUAACCAUUUAUGGGGUCAGCCGCCU